rnacentral:pre_miRNA from 1 species
AAAUAUCAGCUGGUAAUUCUGGGCUCUUAAUUUGCUCAGAAUUCUAUCUGGUAUUGGG